UUUUGGCAUGCCGGUCCUGCGGCAGCCUCGCGGGACCUCUAACAUAGGCCCACCGUGGGUCAAAGUGGCCGUAACCGCCCGAUUCGAGGCCAUUUUUACCCUAAAAUUACCCCUGCCAGUUGCGAAAAACUUGCAUGUAACUGCAUCCUUUCCUAUAGUCCGGGCAACAAGCCUUUCUCAGCGGGCGGUUAUCGGCUGGCCCCAU
rnacentral:misc_RNA from 1 species